CCGAGUUUUCAACUCCCAAACCCAUGUGAAUUUACCACUGUUGCUUCGGCGGUCACGCCCCGGGCGCCACUGUGUGCCCCGGAUCCAGGCGUCCGCCGGAGGACCUAAACUCUUGUUUUUUAUAGUAUCUUCUGAGUGGUUUAUACAAAUAAAUCA
rnacentral:misc_RNA from 1 species